CGCGAGUGAUGUGGCUAGCCGCUACGUUGUCCUCGUUGCAGCUACUAGCUAGGCUAGCUACGCGUGUGAAGCGCGCGGCGCGUUUUCUCUUUAAUAUUUUCCUUUAGUUUUACCUCGUUGGACGGGCAGGCGGGGGAAGGAGGAGCAGCACGCGGAGCAAAACCAAACCGGGAGGGAGAGAUCGCACGCGCGCGGCGGGCGAUAUAUAAACCCGGAUGCGCGCGGUUUGACCGACGGGAGGCUGCAGGGGGGGAACGAGAGGCUGGGCUGCGGCGGCGAGGGUGGUGGAGAGAUAAGCUUCGUAGACUCUAACGCGCGUCUCGGUUUUGUUCGGUGUGUUUGCCGGUUGAUUUUUUUUUUUCUUCUUCUUCUUUCUCUUGUUUUUGCUUGCGGUGGAGGUGUGGAUGGAGGUGGUGGCUGCUGCUAUCUUCUACGCACGCUCGGUACGCUCGGAUAGCUGUAUGCCUCACACGACGACUUCUGCUUUGGCGGCUAAGCGAUGGAGAGAGGAGGAGGAGGAGGAGCUGCUGGGAGAAGGCAAGAGGCUUUCAGCUGGGAGGGCACACCGAUGAUAAGAGGAGGAACGGGGCGGCGAGGGGUAUUUGUAGGGAGCGGGGGGGUGCUUUCGCGCUCCGGCAUAGCUCACCGCGCAACC
rnacentral:lncRNA from 1 species